CGGCCUGGGUACAGAGGAGCCCUGCCCUCAGCCGCGGCAGCUCGGCGCCCGCCCUGCCGCGGGCCUCUCCGUCGGCGCGGGACGCCUCGCGGGCUGAGGCGGCGGCAGCUCCUCCGGCUCCCUCUCGGCCGCGGGCGGGGACCUCCGGACGCCGCUGAGGAGAUUCCAGCCGGGGUUCGCGGGGGCGCAGAGCGGUGACUGACAAGGACAUUCAAGUUCAACGUUUCCUUUCUCACUUGAGGCGCUGAGAGCCCCUGGCAGCCACCAAUCUACCGUCUAUUUCUAUGGAUUUGCCAGUUCUGGACACUUCAUGUAAAUGGAAUCAUACAAUAGGACUCUCAAUUCUAUUUGAUUGGUCUACAUGUCUAUCCAUAUGUCAGCACCACACUGUUUUGAUUACUGUAGCUUUGUGGCCGUGUGUGUCUCUCAGAGCUGAUUGUAAUUCCUGGAAGAUGCGUUCACUUUAAAUCCACUCAUUUGCCUAUCUUUCCUUCCAGCGUUUCAGUCUCAGAGUUACCUGUCACCAGUCACAGUCCCUGAAGAGCCCAGAGAUUUCUCCUGGAAGGAAAGACUCUAGAGAAAUCACAGGGAUAAAUGCAGAGUGCAGCCAAGCCUUGCCUGUGCUGAUGCCCAAGAAGGUGAAGACAGUGAAUGAUUUCUGAAUUUUAAUGGGGGAAUUUCUUAAUCUCCUAAAUAUGCCGAGUGACGCAUAUGUUUAAAAAACGUUAUCGCGGUACCUCCGAGGAUUUCCACACAGUAAGGACGCCGUUUGUUCAGACGCAGUCCGAGAGCUUGCCGACAGAAGCCUUGGCCACGACCAUCCUCCCACAGAAAUUGGGCCAUUUUCGUGGGCCCCUGAAAGUGUGGAGGCCCCCGCACUGGGCCUGCGAUGAGGCAACCCAGCGUUUCCGUCUGUGUGGUGCUUCUCCCCAGAGCUCUUCAUCACUUCCCCGCCCCCGGCUGUGUGCAGUGGAAGGUGCUCAGGGCUCAUCAGGUCCAGCCUGACAGGCAAGAAAAUUGAAGCAGAGGAGAGAAACGACUUGUCUGAGGCCACCCCUUGACCACGACAAGGACUAAGCCAACCUCUGACCGCCAGGUCCCAAAACAACACAAAAGGGAGAACUAGUUUUCAGGUUUGGAAAAAAAAGAUAUGCAUCACGCGUUCCUUCAUUUAUUCCAGCUCCAGCCACGUGCCAGGCAGCAUGCUGCUGCUUGGGACCCGCUGCAGAGUGAAGCAGGCAGGAGGGACCCCGGUGACCAGUGACUGUCUCCUGACGGUCCUGACCAAGACACAGUGGAAAAGUGCACUGUGCUACAGACACAGAAAGCGGAGCAACAAAACCCAGCCUGGGAGGAAGAAGAGGCUUCCGUUAUUUAUUUGAAGACCUAAGAAAGAAGAAGAAAUGUCUGAAUUAUCCCAAAAAUUAUUUAAGGGAAAAAAAGGAACAGAAGUGACAGUUGGCCCUUGUGGUACUACAAAACCACAUAAUCAAGAUCUGAUGGUACUAACCAAAGAUUGACAAGUAUCACUGGAAAAGAAGAGGGAGCCAUAUGUGUGUGUGUGUGACAUUAAUUUAGUGGGAAAGGAUAGCUAAUUUGAGGUAUGAUAAAACCACAACUGGCUCUCUACCUGGAAAAAUCUGUAUUUGGACCCUCACCUCCCACCCGUCACAAAGAUCAGUUCCAGAUGGAUUAAGGCCUAAUGAAUUGAACAAUAAAUAGAAACCCUGACAGAAGUGGAAAUAGAAAACCAUUUGCGCUGAACAAGGGUAGCAGAGACUCAACCAUGACAGGAAACUCAGAGACUGUAAUAAAAAGUGAAGCACAUACCUGACUGCAUUAAUUUUUAUAUGUGUGUCAAAAGAUACCAUAAACAAAAGAGGAUGGAUUUGGGGGAAUUCCAAAAUUCCCCAUUGCAAUGCAGAUACAGAUAAAAUGCCUGCAGGCUUCCCUGGGUGGCUUAGUGGUAAAGAGUCUGCCUGCCAACCCAGGGAGACAUGGGUUUGAUCCCUGAUUCCUGGGAAAAUCCUGCAUGCCUCGGGGCAACUAAGCCCGUGUGCCACAACUGCUGAGCUUGGGCUCUAGAGCCAGGGGGUCCGCAACUACUGAGCGCACGAGUCACAACUACUGAAACCUGCACUCCCAGAGCCCGUACUCUGCAACAAGAGAAGCCACUGCAACGAGAAGCCCGUGUGCCGCAACUGGAGAGAAGACCCGGCACAGCCAAAUAAAUAAAUAAUCUGAAAAAAAUAAAAUGCCUGUGACAGGUCAAGAGCAUCUCUAAAUUGAUUUUUUUUUUUUUAAGACAAAUAACCUUCCCAGCAGUUGAGAGUGCAGCAGGACUUAUCAGCCUCAGCACUGUAGACACUUUGGGUCUGACAGCCCCUUGCUGUGGGCGCUUUGUAAGAUACGUAGCAGCAUCCCUGGUGCCUACCCACUAGAUGCCAGCCUCACCCCUCCCCAACUCACAAGUUGUGAUAACCAAAAAUGUCUGCAGACAUUGCCACAUGUCCCUGGGGAGGGAGAGGAAAACCGCUCAGUUGAGAAGCUCUGCAGUAGAGCAGAUCCACUAAUAAACAUGUGGCAGGAUGCCUCAGUAGUCAGGGACAGGCAGAGAGCAGAAUGAGGUGUCAUUUUAAUGAUAACACCUACACCUAGCAUGAAUGCAAGGAAAAGGAUGGGUGGAGGAUAGCAACAGGACUUCAGAGUCUCCAAGGGAGAUCAGUCUGAUAAUGCAGAAGGGAGACACAAAAAGCUGUAUGGUGGGGGCUUCUCUGAUGGUCCAGUGGUUAAGAAUCUGCCUUGCAAUGCAAGGGACACAGGUUUGAUCCCUGGUCUGGGAAGAUUGCACAUGCCUUGGAGCCACUGAGCCCAUGCCCCACAACUACUGAGCCAAUGCUCUUGAGCCCAAGAUCAUCGCCCUGGAGUGCGUGCUCUGCAACAAAAGAAGCCAUUGCAAUAGAAAGUGUGUGCACUGCAACCAAGAGUAGCCCCCGCCCACCACAACUAGAGAAAGCCUGUGUGUGGCAAUGAAGACCCACCACAGCCCAAAAAUAAAAGAAUUACUUUUUUAAAAGCUGUAUGGUGUAAAACUCAGAG